AUUGAACGCUGGCGGCAUGCCUUACACAUGCAAGUCGAACGGUAACAGGUUAAGCUGACGAGUGGCGAACGGGUGAGUCAUGUAUCGGAACGUGCCCAGUCGUGGGGGAUAACUGCUCGUAAGAUCAGCUAAUACCGCAUACGACCUGAGAGUGAAAGCGGGGGCUCGCAAGACCUCGCGCGAUUGGAGCGGCCGAUAUCAGAUUAGGUAGUUGGUGAGGUAAAGGCUCACCAAGCCGACGAUCUGUAGCUGGUCUGAGAGGACGACCAGCCACACUGGGACUGAGACACGGCCCAGACUCCUACGGGAGGCAGCAGUGGGGAAUGUUGGACAAUGGGCGCAAGCCUGAUCCAGCCAUGCCGCGUGCGGGAAGAAGGCCUUCGGGUUGUAAACCGCUUUUGUCAGGGAAGAAAAGGUUCUGGCUAAUACCUGGGACUCAUGACGGUACCUGAAGAAUAAGCACCGGCUAACUACGUG
rnacentral:rRNA from 1 species